rnacentral:rRNA from 1 species
GACGAACGCUGGCGGCGUGCUUAACACAUGCAAGUCGAACGGAAAGGCCCUGCUUUUGUGGGGUGCUCGAGUGGCGAACGGGUGAGUAACACGUGAGUAACCUGCCCUUGACUUUGGGAUAACUUCAGGAAACUGGGGCUAAUACCGGAUAGGAGCUCCUGCUGCAUGGUGGGGGUUGGAAAGUUUCGGCGGUUGGGGAUGGACUCGCGGCUUAUCAGCUUGUUGGUGGGGUAGUGGCUUACCAAGGCUUUGACGGGUAGCCGGCCUGAGAGGGUGACCGGCCACAUUGGGACUGAGAUACGGCCCAGACUCCUACGGGAGGCAGCAGUGGGGAAUAUUGCACAAUGGGCGGAAGCCUGAUGCAGCAACGCCGCGUGCGGAAUGACGGCCUUCGGGUUGUAAACCGCUUUCGCCUGUGACGAAGCGUGAGUGACGGUAAUGGAUAAAGAAGCACCGGCUAACUACGUG